rnacentral:lncRNA from 1 species
GUUUGACUAGAAUUCUUUAAAAUUACCUGAGUUUCAGUAGACCUUUGAUAACAAUAAAAAAAAGAUUAUUUACCUAAAAUUUUGUGGGGACAUGGGGGUUCGGACUAUGAACCAGUGAGAAAUAUACAAGCCUUUCUACGGUAUUUAUUUGUACAAUUCAGGUAGUCUUGACCUAUAUUCAUUUGUCUUUUAAAAAACCAUCCAGUUGUCAUCUUCACUUCACACACACACAUUAGCAACUUUACCUGACCAUAUCGGAAAAUAGGUAUUUAGUCGGAUCUUAACACGUACUUGUGAUUUGGUUAAAACCGGUUUUGAUCAAAAUAUACGAAGAAAUGUCGAAAUGUUCAGGACUUAAUUAAAUCCGUAUUUCGGUAGGAUGGUGCAAGCAUACGAUUUUUAUUGCGUCUUACACUUUGAGAAGCGAAUAAUCUUCAACUACUUUAUUCAAAUAUUGUGUAAAAACGUUAAUUUUGAGCUAUGAAAGUCAAGUGGUUCGAGCAUUUUUCUGAGAAAGUUUUAAAAAAUUGCAAAGAAAUAUUUUUACAGUGGGUUAGCUUUCAUUAGUCUUGACUAUCUAUAGAUUAACAACUUUUGGUUAUAUUUACAAUUUAGAAUCAUCAUUGAAGGUGGGGGACGAUUGCACAGAUAAUUAAUUAUAUUGAUGUGCCAUUUGUAUGCAAGAGUGACAUUCCGUUGUAUUAUGUGCCAAUUCGAAAAAGUUAUGCGAGUAUUCUCUCCCCUUAACAGGUUCAUUAUUUUAUAAUUUAGUUUAGGUUUCUGAUAUAAUUUUGAAUAAUUACAAAAUGUAUCAAUUCAAUAUAUUUCAGUUUUUGUUAUUGGUGUAUCAAAAACAUUGAUGUACGAAUAUAAUUUCAUAAAUUUGAAACGUUUAAAAUGAUUACAUACCAAUAUAAAGAACCGUUCGUCAUUUUUGAAAAAGACUAUCAACGAAAAUCGUAAUAUUUAUCUUCCCUUGGUGAUAGAUUGAUUGGGAAAGGAACCAACGUAAUCUAAUGGUAAUCACAGAGAGAGACCAGCAAGCAAUUUUUAAUUGUAGCUUAUUCAACGUUAAAACAAUUUUCAACUAUAAACGAAUGUUACUUUAUACAAAUAUAAGGACUUUGUUAGCUAAAUCUACAAAUUUUAUUAGAUAUUAUGAUUUUUUAUUGCAAUAGAUUAAUAUGCUACA